UACAGAGGUCUCAAGCGUUGUUCGGAAUCACUGGGCGUAAAGCGUGCGUAGGCUGUUUCGUAAGUCGUGUGUGAAAGGCGGGGGCUCAACCCCUGGACUGCAUUGGAAACUGUAAAUCUUGAGUGCCGGAGAGGUAAGCGGAAUUCCUAGUGUAGCGGUGAAAUGCGUAGAUAUUAGGAGGAACACCAGUGGCGAAGGCGGCUUACUGGACGGUAACUGACGUUGAGGCUCGAAAGCGUGGGGAGCAAACAGG
rnacentral:rRNA from 1 species